rnacentral:rRNA from 1 species
UACGAAGGGGGCUAGCGUUGUUCGGAAUCACUGGGCGUAAAGCGCACGAAGGCGGCGCGUUAAGUCAGGGGUGAAAUCCUGGAGCUCAACUCCAGAACUGCCCUUGAUACUGGCGUGCUCGAGUGUGGGAGAGGUUGGUGGAACUCCGAGUGUAGAGGUGAAAUUCGUAGAUAUUCGGAAGAACCCCAGUGGCGAAGGCGGCCAACUGGCCCAUUACUGACGAUGAGGUGCGAAAGCGUGGGGAGCAAACAGG